AGUGCCGCGGGCGUUCCGCGGCCGUGCCUGAGGCUGGCUGUUCGGGCGCAGCUUGGCGGAGGGCCCGGGGCGAGACAGGGGGCUGAGCGGUCCCCGCUGCUAUCAGACAGGUUCAGCUGUCCCAGCUUAAGCACCAAGUAGCCAAUCCAGACAACACACUUGCCAAGACUCCUCAGAGUGUCUCAGCAACCAACCUACACAGUCCCAUACCAGGUGUGUGCGACAUGUAACGAUGUGCUUCUGCAUUGUGAGGUUUGCCCACUGACAACUGGCUCUGUCCAAGAGUACCAGCUCUUCAAGACAGGAAACACACCUUACUGAGCAUGGCAGGAAUGAUUUCCACUGGACUUUGGAGGCAGGUGUGAUUGUCCUCACUGCUACUCAUAUGAACACAGCUCUGAAACUCCCUCGUCUUUCUUCCUUGUCUUCC